rnacentral:rRNA from 1 species
AGAGUUUGAUCCUGGCUCAGGACGAACGCUGGCGGCGUGCUUAACACAUGCAAGUCGAACGGAAAGGCCCUUCGGGGUACUCGAGUGGCGAACGGGUGAGUAACACGUGGGUGAUCUGCCCUGCACUUUGGGAUAAGCCUGGGAAACUGGGUCUAAUACCGAAUAUGACCACGCUCUUCAUGGGGUGUGGUGGAAAGCUUUUGCGGUGUGGGAUGGGCCCGCGGCCUAUCAGCUUGUUGGUGGGGUAAUGGCCUACCAAGGCGACGACGGGUAGCCGGCCUGAGAGGGUGACCGGCCACACUGGGACUGAGAUACGGCCCAGACUCCUACGGGAGGCAGCAGUGGGGAAUAUUGCACAAUGGGCGCAAGCCUGAUGCAGCGACGCCGCGUGAGGGAUGACGGCCUUCGGGUUGUAAACCUCUUUCACCAGGGACGAAGCGCAAGUGACGGUACCUGGAGAAGAAGCACCGGCCAACUACGUGCCAGCAGCCGCGGUAAUACGUAGGGUGCGAGCGUUGUCCGGAAUUACUGGGCGUAAAGAGCUCGUAGGUGGUUUGUCGCGUUGUUCGUGAAAACUCACAGCUUAACUGUGGGCGUGCGGGCGAUACGGGCAGACUAGAGUACUGCAGGGGAGACAGGAAUUCCUGGUGUAGCGGUGGAAUGCGCAGAUAUCAGGAGGAACACCGGUGGCGAAGGCGGGUCUCUGGGCAGUAACUGACGCUGAGGAGCGAAAGCGUGGGGAGCGAACAGGAUUAGAUACCCUGGUAGUCCAA